rnacentral:rRNA from 2 species
UACAGAGGUGGCGAGCGUUGUUCGGAUUUACUGGGCGUAAAGGGUGCGUAGGCGGUUCCGCGUGUCGGAUGUGAAAUCUGGAGGCUCACCCUCCAAAGUGCAUUCGAAACUGCGAAACUCGAGUACAGGAGAGGAGAGCGGAAUUCUUGGUGUAGCGGUGAAAUGCGUUGAGAUCAAGAAGAACACCAGUGGCGAAGGCGGCUCUCUGGAAUGAAACUGACGCUGAGGCACGAAAGUUGGGGGAGCAAACAGG